CCGAGUGAGGGCCCUCUGGGUCCAACCUCCCACCCGUGUUUAACUGUACCUUGUUGCUUCGGCGGGCCCGCCUCACGGCCGCCGGGGGGCUCUCCUGCCCCCGGGCCCGCGCCCGCCGAAGACACCUGUGAACGCUGUCUGAAGUAUGCAGUCUGAGAAAACUAGCUAAAUUAGUUA
rnacentral:misc_RNA from 1 species